rnacentral:lncRNA from 1 species
GCGGCUUGAUGACUAUGAACGUAAGUUUUAAAAAAUUGAUCAUCAGUUUGUCCGACUUCAAGUGGAAGAUCGGAAGUCUUUUAAUGACUAUGACUUCCACACUGUCCAGCCUCUCUCAGUGCAUCUCGGAUGAACUGUUUCUUUCUCGAUUCAAGAUGCCGCAAAUGGAGUCGUACGAUGGCUCCACCAACCCGAUCGAUCAUCUUGAGAGCU